GCCAGUGAGAGGGAGGGGGCGGGCUGCGGCGCCAAGCGGGGGGCUCAGUUAAACGUGCAGAGGAGGCGGGUCUGAGAGAAUAGUUAAAUUUUAAAAUGCCGAAAACGAAUGUGGAAAAAAAAGAAAAGAAGGCAGAAAAAAGAAAAAAGCUAAAGCAACGUGUGGCCCAAAAGGGAGAGCUGGAAUCGGAAACUGAACCAAAGAAAAAGAAACAAAAUCUGCAGGUAG